GUUCUUGUAGUUGAGAAAAGCAACGAUGGCUUUUCAGGCCAUAGGCCUCGGUUAAGACCCGAGUAAGAACA
rnacentral:tRNA from 1 species